UGCCAAUUAUCCCGAAUUGGUUUUUUCAUACUUACUCCUACCAAGAGUAAAUAACAACCUUCAUUUCCACCACAGACGACGGUCGUGGUGGUUUUUUUUGUUUAGGUGCUAGUUUUUUUGCUAUCAAUUGACUAGGAGAAGUGAACGUUCUUUAAGAAUUUGUCAUUUCAAAUUUACGGAACCGCAAGAAACGAUUUGCUUCUUCCUCUAACUGAGUAAUUUCUUCUUCUGUUAACUCUUCCGUAGUAAUGUGAAUAUGUAACUCUUUUUGUGUGCUUUUCAUAGGUGCCUGAUGAUUAAUCUCUGUUUGUUGGGUGCGGCCCAUUAAAUAGUCCAAGGAGACAGAAAAAUAGUCUGCUAUUUUUAAAAGAUUCUCUACUUUAGGCGAAGAGGUAUCCCAACGACGAAUUUGUCCAUUGGAAAUGCCGACGUUUCUUUCUAAUUGGGCGAGGGUUAGUUGCUUUGACUGAGCUAAUUGUUUAAUGCGAGAAAUUAAGGUCAUUUCAAGUCCUCCUUGUGUUUUCCGUUUGCUAAUUUUAAAUUAGCGUAAAAGCGAAUGGUUGUCAAUUGCGAGCGUGUAAUAAGAAGGUGAACAUCUCAUGAGUGAUUUUUUAGAAAAUUUCCGAUG
rfam:Enterococcus faecalis V583, complete genome.